AGAUACAAUGGUCCUGGUUCUCCUUUACUCUAGAACCUUGGAUUGUGCCCAUCACCAAAAAGAAGCACAAAGUGGAUGUAAAGGUACUUCAUGCACAAUCCUGAGGCAAUGCCAGGAACCUUAGCACAGGUAAGAAUGAGACUUGAGAUCUCUACAAGUACUAUGAAAUGCAUGCACACUGCCCAUGAGCAAGCAAAGGGGAAGAGGCAGAGAAGCAGGAAAAAGGAAAACAAUUCCUGUUUAUUCAAUCUGUAAUCGUAGGGAAGAGCAGACCCUUCAAAGCUUCCUAAUUCUCUAACUGGCACGUUUUAAAUUUCUAGCUGGAACACAUCGUGUGCAGUCCACAAACCCAGGAAGAAAUGCACCUACACAGUUUUAAUGUGACUCGCCUCAACUUCAGGUCAACCAAGCAGUACAUCUGGAUGACACAACACAUUGCUCUUGAGAGCCCCAACAAAGCUCUUGUGUUGUUGCUGUGCUUUGGACUGAGUGUUAUUCAGGCUCGAUGACCAACUGGUGGUGCUAAUGCUUCAUUGGAUGGGAGGUGUUGCACUGAGAGCCACCUGUAACAAAAAGGUCACUGACAAGUUUGCAAGGGGUUGUCCUGUUGCCUGGAGAGGAGAGGGGAGGAAGAGAAUAAUUUUCUUUCGCAGCACACAGACUGUGAGAAGAAAACCCCUUUUCACACCAGCCCUGACCUGUGAGGGAGACCAAGAAAUGUAG
rnacentral:lncRNA from 1 species